rnacentral:rRNA from 1 species
AAAGCUCGUAGUUGGAUCUUGGAGCGUGUUCUUGCGGUCAUACUUAUUGUUUGUACUGCUUGACGCGUUCUUCUAUUUGGUUGCGUGUGCAAGUUCUCUUAGUUGAGUGCUGUACUCGACCGAAACGUUUACCUUGAAAAAAUUAGAGUGUUCAAAGCAGACCUGUUUGUGUCUGAAUAUUCGUGCAUGGAAUAAUGAAAUAUGAAUUCGGUUCUAUUUUGUUGGUUUUCGGAACUCGAGUUAAUGAUUAAGAGGGACAGACGGGGGUAUUAGUACUCUGCCGUUAGAGGUGAAAUUCUUGGAUCGGCGGAAGACUCGCAACUGCGAAAGCAUUUGCCAAGAAUGUUUUCUUUAAUCAAGAACGAUAGUCGGAGGUUCGAAGACGAUCAGAUACCGUCCUAGUUUCGACUGUAAACUAUGCCAGCUAACGAUCAGACAGCGUUCUCUACGACUUGUCUGGCAGUUUCCGGGAAACCAAAGCUUUUGGGUUCCGGGGGAAGUAUGGUUGCAAAGCUGAAACUUAAAGGAAUUGACGGAAGGGCACCACCAGGAGUGGAGCCUGCGGCUUAAUUUGACUCAACACGGGGAAACUCACCCGGCCCGGACACAGUGAGGAUUGACAGAUUGAGAGUUCUUUCUUGAUUCUGUGGGUGGUGGUGCAUGGCCGUUCUUAGUUGGUGGAGCGAUUUGUCUGGUUAAUUCCGAUAACGAACGAGACUCUGGCAUGUUAAAUAGUCGCGGAAGUAUUUUUGCUUACCGAUUUGACUUCUUAGAGGGACAAGUGAUUCUAGUCACACGAGAUUGAGCAAUAACAGGUCUGUGAUGCCCUUAGAUGUUCG